GGUUCAUGACUGGGGUGAAGUCGUAACAAGGUAGCGCUAGGGGAACCUGGCGCUGGAUCACCUCCUUAUACGAUGAUUAUUGCGAUGAGUGUUCACACAGAUUGAUAUGGUUUAGAAAGUUUAGAGUAUCUUAGUGUCCCGUUCGUCUAGAGGCCUAGGACACCGCCCUUUCACGGCGGUAACAGGGGUUCGACUCCCCUACGGGAUACCAUCUUUAAGCAUUCUUACGAGUGUGUUUAAACAUGGUUUUCAUUAGAAAAUCUGCUCUUUAACAAUUUGGAAAGCUGACAAAACAACAAUUUAUUGUUGUUUGUAAAGUUCUCAAUGUUUGUCUUUAAGACAAACACCAACAAACACAUUCAAGUGUUCUUGGGAAUGUCACUUUUAGUGACUAUUCGAAAUUGAGUCCGGCAAAAUCAACGCUAUCUCGCUCAUUCAAAUAAUGAGAUAGCAACUUUGGUUGUUUAACAAAGACCCUUUGGGGUUGUAU
rnacentral:misc_RNA from 1 species